rnacentral:rRNA from 1 species
CCUACGGGAGACAGCAGUGGGGGAUAUUGCACAAUGGGGGAAACCCUGAUGCAGCGACGCCGCGUGGGUGAAGAAGUAUUUCGGUAUGUAAAGCCCUAUCAGCAGGGAAGAAAGAAGACGGUACCUGACUAAGAAGCCCCGGCUAACUACGUGCCAGCAGCCGCGGUAAUACGUAGGGGGCGAGCGUUAUCCGGAUUCACUGGGUGUAAAGGGAGCGUAGACGGCCGUGCAAGCCAGGAGUGAAAGCCCGGGGCCCAACCCCGGGACUGCUCUUGGAACUGUGCGGCUGGAGUGCGGGAGGGGCAGGCGGAAUUCCUGGUGUAGCGGUGAAAUGCGUAGAGAUCAGGAGGAACACCGGCGGCGAAGGCGGCCUGCUGGACCGCGACUGACGUUGAGGCUCGAAAGCGUGGGGAGCGAACAGGAUUAGAUACCCGAGUAGUC